ACUGCUUUUCUUUGAUGUCCCCAUAUUGAGGAGCCCGAUAGCCAAAUUUUUGUUUUAUUGCUAUCGGGUUUUUUGUU
rnacentral:sRNA from 1 species